ACCAACUUCUCAGAGGGUGAUGUCACCCAUUUCAUCUGCCAGGCUGCUGUGCCCAAGGUUUGUAAAGAUCAGAGUUCAGAGGUGGCCUGGGGACUCCAGGAGAAAAGGCCACUAAGUGGAGGAGGUGGGUGGGAGACAGUGUGAGAUGGGAUUGAGUCAUCUGGAGAUCAGCACUUGGGGAGUUACAGGAAAAGGGUGUGGAGCCACUGAGUAUAGAGGGGCUGCCUGAGCCCUACCUACUGCCAUACUGUGCUCUGUUAAACUCCUGUGUUCAGAGUCUCCAGCUGCAGCUGCAGGCCCCCAGUGGGAACACAGUUCCAGCUCGGGGUGGCCUUCCUAUCACCCAGCUCUUCAGAAUCCUCAAUCCUAACAAGGCCCCCCUGCGGCUAAAGCUGCGCCUCACCUACGACCACUUUCACCAGUCGGUGCAGGAGAUCUUUGAGGUGAACAACUUGCCUGUGGAAUCGUGGCAGUAACUGUCUCCACUCACAGCCUGAAAUUCUCCUGUGUCCCAAACCCCAGGGGGCCCCAGCAGCUUCGAACCUACACCUGAGGGCUACCAGCAGGUGGCGCUCUGGCUUUGCACUGCAAAAACUGGGGACCAGCCCCCUUCUCCCACAAAUAAAGCCCAAUAAAGCCUGAGAAGUGAGGAAAGCCA
rnacentral:lncRNA from 1 species